rnacentral:rRNA from 1 species
AUUGAACGCUGGCGGCAUGCCUUACACAUGCAAGUCGAACGGCAGCACGGGAGCAAUCCUGGUGGCGAGUGGCGAACGGGUGAGUAAUAUAUCGGAACGUGCCCAGUCGUGGGGGAUAACGUAGCGAAAGUUACGCUAAUACCGCAUACGAUCUAUGGAUGAAAGCGGGGGAUCGCAAGACCUCGCGCGAUUGGAGCGGCCGAUAUCAGAUUAGGUAGUUGGUGGGGUAAAGGCUCACCAAGCCGACGAUCUGUAGCUGGUCUGAGAGGACGACCAGCCACACUGGGACUGAGACACGGCCCAGACUCCUACGGGAGGCAGCAGUGGGGAAUUUUGGACAAUGGGCGCAAGCCUGAUCCAGCAAUGCCGCGUGCAGGAAGAAGGCCUUCGGUUGGUAAACUAGCUUUUGUUACGGAACGAAACGGACGGAGGCUCUAAUACAGUUGUCUAAUGACGGUACCGUAA